rnacentral:lncRNA from 1 species
UUUUUUAUGAUAGCGCUAUAGAUUCGGAGCUUAGCAACACUCUCAUUGUUUUAAUUCUAACCAAUCGAUCUUUAUUCUGUGUUAUACAAGCUGGUUAUGAAUGUAACCCCCAAACCCGGCCUAGACGUUAUGGGCAAAUCUGGCGAUGUCACAUAGAAUAGGAUUUGAAGACAAGAAUGUCGAGUUAAAACUGUUACAGUUAGUUAGCUUUUAUUUAAUUCAGAAAAAUAAGUACUAGUUUAUUUGUUUUAAAAAUUGUCUCUUAGCGGAAGCUUUUAUAACCAAU